rnacentral:rRNA from 1 species
UACGUAGGGGGCAAGCGUUGUCCGGAUUUAUUGGGCGUAAAGAGCGUGUAGGCGGCCAGGUAGGUCUGCUGUGAAAACUCGAGGCUUAACCUCGAGAUGUCGGCGGAAACCAUCUGGCUAGAGUCCGGAAGAGGAGAAUGGAAUUCCCGGUGUAGCGGUGAAAUGCGCAGAUAUCAGGAGGAACACCGGUGGCGAAGGCGGGUCUCGUGGGC